UAACAUAUAAUCUAUAGUAUUUCAACCGGUUCUAUUUUGAAAAUAACCGAAAAACCGGAACCGGAACCGAAACAGGCGCUAGAACCGGCGGUCCGGUUCCCGGUUCUUAUAAUAUAGGAAAACCGGUUCCGGUUCCAAAGCUCAUCCCUAGUUACUAGGGUGUUAGAAAUGUUACAGACCCCGUGAUAGAAAUUCUACUGCUGCCUUUAGCCUCACAAAGAAGAAAAGUUGGAUCAUACACAUUCAGAACUUACAAAUAUUAUUGAACAUGGCUAGGUUGUCUUGUGAGUAAGCUUUGCAAUCGACUCCUUAUCUAUUUUCAAUACAAAUUCACAAGUCUUUUAUAAGAUGCAAUGAAAACUCCAUUUCUAGCAUGAAGAAUAUGCACCAGAGAAAACAAUGGUAGAUGGAGCACAAUAGUAGCCAAUGAAUAAAGCUUUUAUCAAAUCCUCAUAACUAAACAUCUUCCUAGAGCCAAUCUCAACCCUACCUAAUGCUACAAAUAGAUAUGAGAGAAUUUGAUAAUUCAUUUUGUAAUAUUGAAAACAAAACAGAUUGGUCCCGAUAACACUUCUCAUUUUGUGAAUUUCAACCCAAUUUUGAGAUUGGGUUUUGAUUAAAUGUAACACAAAUUAAUUUCACUUUGACGGAUCUUGAUCGAAGGUUCUAAAAUAGAUUUGAAUUCAAACAAUUUGCUAGGUUUCAAAAUCCAGAUCCAUGAAUUGGGAAAUUAACUAAACUCGCACCAUUAAAAUAACAGAAUCCAAAAACCAUAACAAAACUAAACAGUACUGAUUACGACAUGUUCGAAUAGAAAAAUAUGAAACGGAAAUUGACACGAUGGUGAUGAUUCCUUCAAAAAGUCUGGCAGAUUAUUAUUCCAAACAAACAUAUUAUUACUUAGAUCUCUGCCUCAUCUUUCGGCGCUUCCUCUUCAAUCUCCUCAUUCUCUUCUUCUUCCACUGACGAAUUACAAAUCAACCAAUUUCAUCAAAAAGAAUUCAAUUAACACAUAUGUAAACAAAAAACAGUUGAUAAUUCACAGCAGGAGAACUUACCUUGGCUCUCAUGGUGAUCGGAUAGCUUGGGUUUGUUGUGUUUUUCCUUUUUCAGUUAUAAAACCCUAGCCGACGGUAUAAUGAAAGAAAGGGGAUGGGGUGGGGCUAUUUAGCGAACCCUAAAUCUUAAUGGACGGCCCAAUGGAUCCGGGUUUGCAAUCUCUGGGGUUAAACAAUUUACAUAAAAGCCCAAUUUGGUUAGUUAUUUUUGUCCGGCUCCUAAGUCCUAAAAUCUAAAUGUUUUACAUUUUCAAUGGUCGUAAAAAGGAAUAUAUACAAACAACGAUUGUUCGAACAAAC
rnacentral:lncRNA from 1 species